rnacentral:rRNA from 1 species
UACGUAGGGUGCAAGCGUUGUCCGGAAUUAUUGGGCGUAAAGAGCUCGUAGGCGGUCUGUCGCGUCUGCUGUGAAAGCCCGGGGCUUAACCCCCGGGUCUGCAUUCGAUACGGGCUAGCUAGAGUGUGGUAGGGGGAGAUCGGAAUUCCUGGUGUAGCGGUGAAAUGCGCAGAUAUCAGGAGGAACACCGGUGGCGAAGGCGGAUCUCUGGGCCAUUACUGACGCUGAGGAGCGAAAGCGUGGGGAGCGAACAGG